rnacentral:lncRNA from 1 species
GGUUCUUUGCAGCCUUGUUUCAGAUUAUCAGGACGGCUACUAGUGGUGGGAUGGCUUAAUAUCGAGCUAAAAACAAGACUAUCAUUAUCAGAGAUUUAUUAUCCAUGUGUUUGGGAGGCAAUAUCAUAUCUGUACCCUGUAGCAAACUUCGACCCUGAUGAUGUUAUGUAGAGAUUUAAAUCUUGUGCAGUCGUGUUUACCUCCUGUUACCAAGAACCUAGUCUAAACUUGAAACUAAAUGGUGCAAGUUGAAACUUUAAAAUUAUAUAAAACUUCAAAUAUCCAAGGUAAUAAUUUGUUUUCUUUCUUUGUGAUGACACUUAUACAAUGUUCAAAAUAUAUCGGCGGGGUGUUGAGUAGAGAUUAAUCGGUGAAUUGGUCAUUUAACCGAAUUUGUCGGUAACCCAUUUAUGGAAGGUCGACUAGGGUAAUAUAUGUAUGUCCUAGGCUAUAUAGCAGCAUGUAAUGUACUCCCUCCGUUUUUAUUUACUUUGCAUAUUAGAGUUGACGAAGUCAAACUUUAUAAAGUUUGACCAAAUUUAUAGAGAAGAAUAUAAAUAAUUAGCAUAACAAAUCUAUAUGAUGUGGAUUCAUAAGGGGCCUUUAUUUUAUUAGUGUCUACACCUCCCCAAUCCAAGCUCAUCACUCUACUCUAGUGUCUGCGUGCUAAAGUAGUUCCUAUCACACCUCAACUAUGGCUUGUAGCAUCUAGGCACAUGAGACAAUUAUCUCUAAGAAACUCGGCAAAAUACUCAACUUUGAGAGAAGAGAGCCCACCUCAUAAAAGGGAGUUUUUUAAGGGUAAAUCAAACUUUUUAUAUUUCCUCCGUCCAAAAAUAAGUAUUUCAAUUUUAGUAUAACUUUUUUUAUACUCCCUCUGUCUUAAAAUAAGUGUUUCAAUCUUAGUAGUUGUACUAAAGGUUGAGACAUUUAUUUUGGGAUGGAGACGUUCGGAGUGCAGGAUACACUCUGUAUGCCACACCUCACACCGUGUGUCACCAACACCUACUUUAGCCAAUACAUGCGCAACUCGAUUAGCCGUUCUCCUCGUCCAGGUGAUCUUCACAUCUUGCCGAUCUUGAAGUAACGUCUUGAUCUCCUGUAAUACUAGGCCGACGGCUGAUAAAUUCUUCCCCGGUUCAUUCACCAUGCGCACUACCGCCAAACCAUCCGUCUCGAGAUGGAGCUUCUGGAUCCCCAGUUCCGCUGCAACCUGGAUUGGACGUUUGCAAGCCAGAAUCUCAGAAAGUUUUAGGUUAGUGAUCGCAGGGAAGUGUUGACACACUGCACCUCUGAAGGCUUCUUGAUGGUCCCAGAACACCACUCCAUCUUCUCCCUUGUUGCCCACUUUUGAUACAGCAUCAUCAACAUUGCCCUUUACCAAGCCCCUCUCCGGCGGCUUCCACUUCUCGACCAAUGUCGGUUUGGUAGCCUUUGUUUGUUUCUCUUGUACUGUGUGCCUCUUGUAGUUAGAGCAAGUAUAAUAAGUUGAUGUAGGCGGGUUGUAAGAUUUUAAAUAAUAUAUUUUGGCUGAAUUGGAUGAGAGCGAAAAGGCAAGAGAGGAGAAGCGGGCUAUAAACUUACAGCCGGCUGUAGCACGAGCUCCAACACUCUUUAUAGAGAAACAUGUAGGCCAUAUAUUAAUAAUAUAACAUACUAAUAUGACUAACUAUUGUAUGAGCGAGCUAUAAGGUUGACUAUAAGUGACAUGAAAAAUUCAUAUGCCCACCAUUGGCUAUACUAUUAACCAUGCUCUUAUAGCUGAUCACCGAAGCGGCCACAGUACGCACGUCAGCAAUUCUUUUCCCGUCCCUUGCCUCAUUUCUUGCCAACCGAAGUCCAUACAAACUCUGAACCAUAAUGGAUUUCUCCUCGUCUCUGGCUUCAGCAAACCACUCUAGCAGCCACCCUGAUAGUGCACUUUGCGAGCGCAUGUUAACCGGCGGGACCGCCACCGGAACCCCCCUUCUCUGAGUGCAUGAUCUUCAAAAACUUCAUGGAUUGUGGGCAUGUCCAGAAUCUGUGAUGGAUGGAUUCUUGUAUCCCACAAGCAACACAAAAAACACCUUCUUUUAUACUUCGUCGGUGUAGCUCACUUCCGGGAGAUGGUGUGCAAUUAUUUUGNNNNNNNNNNNNNNNNNNNNNNNNNNNNNNNNNNNNNNNNNNNNNNNNNNNNNNNNNNNNNNNNNNNNNNNNNNNNNNNNNNNNNNNNNNNNNNNNNNNNNNNNNNNNNNNNNNNNNNNNNNNNNNNNNNNNNNNNNNNNNNNNNNNNNNNNNNNNNNNNNNNNNNNNNNNNNNNNNNNNNNNNNNNNNNNNNNNNNNNNNNNNNNNNNNNNNNNNNNNNNNNNNNNNNNNNNNNNNNNNNNNNNNNNNNNNNNNNNNNNNNNNNNNNNNNNNNNNNNNNNNNNNNNNNNNNNNNNNNNNNNNNNNNNNNNNNNNNNNNNNNNNNNNNNNNNNNNNNNNNNNNNNNNNNNNNNNNNNNNNNNNNNNNNNNNNNNNNNNNNNNNNNNNNNNNNNNNNNNNNNNNNNNNNNNNNNNNNNNNNNNNNNNNNNGACAGCCUGCCCCGUGUGGCUCCGGCCAGCCUCGCCCCGCCACCGUUGGCCGCCCCCAACUCGCCCGCGCCCCUCGCCCUCUCCGCCCCACGUCCCCGCACCCCCGAGAUCCCAUCUGGUGCCUCUGAGGUGCCCUUCUCCAGCUGCUGCAUGGACUUGUCGGUGAUGGAUCUGGCGCUCCUGGCCGUUGCCAUGGGCGCCUCCUGCAGCCUCCCCACUCCCCCGGUGGCGCAACCCAGCCUUGCUGGUUCUGCUGCCAGCCGUGGGCGGGGCAUGGGACCUGCGUCUGGAGGUGGCGGCGUUCGCGGCCUGCCUUUCAUGCAGGCACCCCUCUCGUCUCCGACGGCCCUCCCUUCCCUCGAGCCAUGGUGACAACUCUCAUGUGGAGGCAGCAAUGCUUCUGUGGUGUGGCAGACACGGGGCUCCUCAUGGUGGAUCAUUGCUGACGUUGUUCCGGCCCCGGCGGCCUCCGGACCGCGUCUUUCCGGUGUCUCGUGCUGCCGGCGUCCUGCCGGGCAGCCCCGGCCUCGGCGACCGUGUAGCUGCGUCCCUCCAGCUUACCCGGCUCGUCGAUGUCCCGAUGGCUAAGGCCACGGCAGCACGGAUCUGCGUCCUUCCAGCCCUUGCUUGCCGGCGGUGAUGGACGCCGCCGCCCCAGACCCACUCGUGUGGUUCGCUUCAUCGCCUGCCCCGCCCCGUAUGCCUCAAAGCCUCCUCCUUUCGCCAGAUCUAGUGCUCGUGGGUUCGGGGGCAGUGCCACCCUCCGACGGCAAGUGUAGCCCCACCAACCCCCUCCCAACAUGGUGGUUCCGACCAACUUUGGCUUCCUCAUCUUCGAUUCCAGACUCGACGACUAUGGGAUUGCUCUGUUCAGGCCAGGGAGAGAUCCCUGCUCGGCUUGCUGAUACUGACAGCGGCGGCGCCCGUGGGUGUUGUUUUCUUUUUGGAGACGUUGCCAAGGCCUUCAGCUGCACCCCUCUUCGAGAUCAGGGGAAACCCCAGGUCCGAACCUCAGGUCCGGCUCCCCCGGACCGGAUAGCGACAGCGUCCAUUCCUUCUUCAAGGCGCUAUCUUGCGAGCUCGUGGUGUCCCCAGUUUUGGCUAGGACGAUGUUGGAAUUCUUGUUGGCUGGCAUUGCCGUACUUGGUUCGGGUCUGGUAGGUCUAGCUGUGAUGUUUCUUAUGUUCGGGCCGAGCAUCCCCUUCUCUCUGCUCCAGGCACCAUGUUCACACCUGCUUGCGUCCGUGUUAUGUGUUGUACCCCCGUUGUACUCAUUCUACUCCUUCUAUCAACGAAAUGAUAAGCAAGCUUUGCCUAUUCCCGAAAAAAAAAGGUAUAGCUCACUUCCAAUGAGAAGGCCAUCCUUCAUGAGCCUCCAUACAUGGAUUUUUGCCUUGUUUGGAGCACAGGAGGCCCAUAGUGAAAGGCGGUUCCGGCCGUCCGGACCUUGUUUUGUUCACGCUCAUUUUCAGGUGAUAAGCGGAUCGUACUGUGAACUGACCAUUCCUAGUAAAGUUCUAAGCUAUGUACAAAGGGUGGCUCUGGAGGCACAUACUGAGCCUGCUGAGGCGCGAAGAAGGAAUGUCUUUCGGCUAGAAGAUGGUGGAGGGCAAGAGGAGGUUGCUACGAAUGUGUAUGAUGCAAUGGCGGAAGAUGCUGAAGAGGAGUCCAAUGCUUGAUUCAGUUUAACAGUAGCAUGUAUUGUGUGCACCUGCGUGUGCCUUUUGCUGCGAGAUGUAGGGGUGGUGAAUUGCUAUGCGUGGGGUUCCUUCACAUGGCGAUACUUUGUUCUCCCGUUGGGGUGUAGACAUUUCCCUUUUGGGUCUUCGUUCACAUGGCGAUAUUUUGGUAGCACCUACCUUUUUUUUUUUGACCUGCAGCACCUACGGAUGGUGGCAGGGGACAUGGCUAAAAAAAGGUAAGACAGGUAAACGAAGUGAAAAAACAGAUUUCUCUACUUUACCGUGUGAUUCGUAGGGGCUAUUCAUAGGAGUUGAGAUGCGAUAUCCCGGCAAAAAUCGGUAAACUAAGCUAAUCCAAGCUCCUUGGACGCGCGCGCUCUGUCCCGAUGGACGAGACCGGUUCAUCCCCCCCGCUGCACGUCGUUAUCUGCCCGUGGCUCGCCUUCGGCCACCUGCUCCCCUGCCUGGACCUCGCCGAGCGCCUGGCGUCGCGGGGCCACCGUGUUUCGCUCGUCUCUGCGCCGCGAAACAUCGCGCGGCUCCCGCCUGUGCGCCCAGCUGUGGCGCCGUUCGUCGGCCUCGUGGCACUGCCGUUCCCGCGCGUGGCCGGGCUCCCCGACGGCGCCGAGUCCACCAACGACCUCCCCUUCGACAAGUUCGAGCUCCAUCGCAAGGCGGCCGACGGCCUCACCGCGCCCUUCUCCGAUUACUUGGAGUCCCUAUGCGCCGAGCCCGGCGGAAGGAAGCCCGAUUGGAUCAUCGUGGACUACUUCAACGACUGGGCGGCCGCCGCCGCCAUCCAACACAAGGUUCCAUGUGCGAUGCUUGCCCUACUCGCUGCGACUGUCGUCGCCACCUUGGACAUUCUACUGUCCGAGCGCACCGCGUCCCGAUCGGCAGGAGCGCCAAGGUUCGCGACGGAGAAGACGGGGCUAAUGUCUCUACAAUGCAAAUGGGGGAUGUCCAUCGCCGAGCAGGUCUCCUCGACGCUCCAGAGGUGCAAACUCGUUGCCAUGCGGAGCUGCAGUGAGUGGGAGCCCGAGAGCGUCGCUCAUGCCGCGACGUUCGGCGGCAAGCCGGUUGUCCCCUUCGGCCUCCUGCCGCCGUCGCCUGACGGAGGUCGCCGCGGCGACAGCGGCAAGGACGAUACGGCCGUGCGAUGGCUCGAUGCGCAGCUGGCCAAGUCGGUUGUGUACGUCGCGCUCGGAAGCGAGGUGCCGCUGCGCCCGGAGGAGGUGCGCGAGCUCGCCCUCGGGCUUCAGCUCGCCGGGACGCGCUUCCUCUGGGCUCUGAGGAAGCCACCGGGCGUCGACGCCGACGUGCUCCUCCCUCAGGGGUUCGAGGAGUGCACGCGCGGCCGUGGCCUCGUGAUAACGGGCUGGGUUCCUCAGCUCGGGAUACUGGCGCACGACGCCGUGGCUGCGUUCCUGACGCACUGCGGCUUGAGCUCCACCAUCGAGGGGCUCCUGUUCGGGCGUCCUCUCGUCAUGCUGCCCAUAAUGGGGGACCAAGUGCCGAAUGCAAGGCUGAUGGAGUGUAGGAAGGUCGGCGUGCUGGUGCCGAGAAACGAGAAGGACUGUUCGUUUGACCGAGAAGGCGUCGCGACGGCGAUUCGGGCUGUGGCGGUAGAGGAAGAAGGUAGGAGAGUGUUUACAGCCAACGCCAAGAAGCUGCAAGAGGUCGUGUCGGACACGGAGUGCCAUGAGAGGUAUAUUGACCGGUUUAUUCAGCAGCUUAGAUGUUACAAGUAGUGAAGUGAAGCGUACGUCUUGAUGUUACCUGGAGUCCUGGACUUGGAACAUGCAGUAGAACAAGCUUCUGUAUAUUGGGAUGAGUCGAAAUUGAAACGAGCCUCAGUUUCAAAUCAUGCAUACCCGUGAUUUCUUUGUGAUCUUCACUCAUUGCAGUUUGCAGAGUGUACCACUUUGCUAUGCUCCCCGCAUAGGUUUUUUUUUUCUUUACUUGACUAACUUUCCGAACGCUUCAUUUCUUCCUUUCUAAUUAAUCACACAUCUAAUUCCUCUUUUGCUUACUAGCUAAUUGCAGAGUGAAGUCUAUUUUAAACCCUAACAUUGUAGAGCGCGACGUAAACAAACCCUCACGUCUAAAUCCUUGAAAUCGAUACCCUCUACUCAUCGAUCCCGGCCGAUUUAGACCCUGGAUCCGUUUGGCGUACCGGGAAAUAAAUGAUCCUGGCCAGGAUCUACCUUUACUCUCGCUGACUAGGUUGGCCCACUUGUCAUAUGUAUCCUCUGUCCCAAUCUUUCAGAUGUGUGUUCGGAUGGAGGCGGAGACGGCGCCGUCUCGCGCCCAAGGCGGAGACUGGCCGCUGGUGCACAAGCGGCAGUGGACAGCCGUCUUCAUUACCACAGAAACGGUGGGGCGGCCUGCACGUCCGGCGCGGCAAAGCAGAUGGGGGCGACGCGGACGGAGGAGCAACUUGGCGACCGGUGAGAGCACGUCCGCGCCGGACAGGCCGUGCCCCUCGAGCACCAUCCGCGUCACGCGCCCCAAGCUCAGGUCAUCCCGCGCCACGCAGUUGUUUCCCCGCUGCACGGGGACGAGCUGACGGACAGGUUCCCCUCACGAGCGCGACGGAGCGGUCAGUGGCGAGCCGAAAGCUCACAAGCGCCGCGGCGGAGCGGUCAGCGGCGAGCCGAAAGUCCACGAGCGCCGCGACGUCGCCGUCCAGCGAGCAUACAUUAGUAUGGCAUACGAGUAACAAUAGCAUGAUGGAGAACAGCGACGUAGCGCUGUUUCUGCGUGAGGCGAGGCAGAGGCCGGACCUUGAACGUGGUUGGUGCCAUGAAGUUAUUCGUUCUGCCCAAAUUCACAGCAGUUUAUGCCUUCUUUUGGUUUAGAUGAGGCGCCUACGCUGGCCGCAUGCGUGUGUGUGUUCAAUUGCUCACCGGGCCGCCGGUGUGCGUGUGUGUGUAGCUCGUUGCGAGGGCUCGCUACAUGUAUACGACACAUGUGGGCAAUUGAUCUGAAGCUCUGUCGCUCAAUGGCUCGCGAGUCCAUGCCGCCAUGGCGGACAUGGACGCGCGCGGACGGGGGAGCUGGUUUCGGGAAAAUGGCAGUGGGCCAAGACGAGCAGCACUCUGACGAGAGAAAGAGAGGGGCGGAGAGGAGAAAUGAUUUUUUUUCUUUUACAACAAAGAAAAAGAUUGUUGAAGAAGGUUAUGAUAUGUAGGCCCGUAUGGUCAGUGAGAGAAACAAGCUAUCCCGGUCGGGAUUGUCCUGCCAAACAGGUGUAGGGUUGGUUUAGGGUUACAAUUGGCUAGGAUCGAUGAGUACAGGGUAUGGACUUCAGGGAUUUCAACGUGAGGAUUCGUUUACGUCGCGCUCUACGACCACAGGGUUCAAAACAGACUUCACUCCUAAUUGCAUCCUUCGCCCGUACAUGCCGCAUUUUAUUGUAUAGAUCGGAUCAGUUUCUCCAUGUAGUUUCCCCCCCUAGGCAGCUAGGGUUCCCCUCUUUUCCCCUGGCGGCAACCGCUAGGGUUCCCGAACUACCUUGCUAUCCCACACAAAUCUCACGACCAAAUUGGGAUCUCCUGAUCUGGCUGUGAUUCAUGACUGUCUUUGAGCGAUUGGGUGAGUCUGCAUGGCUGGAAUGGAAGGAGCAAAGGCGCCGGCGGGAGGCGCAUCUGGUAGUGGAGCUGGGGAGGGCGCCCGUGGCCCGGAUCCAAGCUUAGAGGAUAGAUUUCAGGGUCUGAAUCUUCACGGAGAGGAGGAGGACGAGUUGGAUUUGUCAGGUGAGAUCGAUGAAUUGAUUGAAGAGACGAGGUGGAUUGCUAUUUUUAGGGUUCAUACACAAUGACCCUUUAGCCAUGUUGCCCUGUACAAAGCGAUGAGGAAUGCUUGGACGCCAGCACAGGGAGUGAUCUUCAAGGCAAUGAAACCAAACUUGUUCCUGGGUCAGUUCAUGUGUCUUGGCGAUUGGAAUCGCGUGAUGAACGGAGGGCCUUGGUUAUUUCGGAACGCAACAGUUCCUAUGGAGGAGUACGAUGGUCUGACAAACGUUGAGGAGUACAAGCUGGAUCGCAUCCCAGCGUGGGCACGUACCAUAGGCAUCCCUGAGGGGCUUAUGAAGAAGAAGGAGAUUGCUGAGAAGAUAGCAAGAAAAGUUGGAAUACCUCAUGUUAAGGUCAUUGUCAAUGAAGGUCGAAUCAAUCCUACAAAGUAAUUGAGAGCUCGUGUUCACUUGAAGCUUGAUACCCCUCUUGUGCAUUUUGUGCCUUUAACCCUGAAGGAAUACAAGAGGUACCCGGUGGAGUAUGAAACACUUCCGAAUUUCUGUGGUCUGAUGGGGCAUGUGGUAACUGAGUGCGGGGAUGGAAUACACAAAAAAGAGGAUUGUGAAUGGGGUAACUGGUUACUAGUCAAGUUCGAUGAGCCAUCAGGCAGAGGAAGGGGACAGUCGGGGCCGGGUGGCCGGUCAGGCAGAGGAAGAGGCUUUGGAAGAGGAGAAGGGAACCUGGGGGACCUAAACCGUCAAGAAAGAAACAGUAUGGAGGUUGACCCCGAGUCUACUCGUAAUGGUGGAGCACUAGUACCCCUAGCCAGGAAGAGGCUGAUUGGACAUGAUGGGAAUGUGAUCAAUUAUGAUACAGGUGUUAACCAGGUGGCAGCAGGGGUAAACCCUCCACCAGGUUUUGUCAGUGAAAAGGUUGAGUUGCUGGAAAAAUAGCUAAUGAACCAGUAGACAAGACUCAGCUCAGCACCCCACAAAAGAUUCACGAUCAGACGAGGUUUAAGGCUAUGUCAGAUGAUGUUAAUGCAUCCUCAAGUACAUCGGCGACUCCCCUCGAGGGUGUUCGCCGGGAGCAAUGAAAAUCCUAUGCUGGAACUGUCGUGGUAUGGCUAGUACCGCGAUAGAAAGAGCGCUUCUGGAGGUCCAGAAGCAAUGGGGGCCGGAUGUGUUUUUCUUGUCCGAAACACAUUUGAAUACUGUUAGGGCAGAGAAAUUAAGGAAAAAAUAAAGAUGGACAGAGUGGAGGUGGUAGAGAGCGUUGGCAGCAGUGGGGGUUUGCUAUUGUUCUGGCGAAAUCCCAUUGUCUUGCAAGUCCGUGGAAGCACAAAGAACUUUAUUAAUGUGUCGGUGGAAACAGCGGGAGAGGAGGAAUGGAGAUUUACUGGAUUUUAUGGUGAACCACGGUGGGAGGACAAACAUCUCUCCUGGGGUUAUUUGAGAGGUUUAUAUCAGCAAGACCGUCUCCCUUGGGUUGUGGCUGGUGAUUUCAAUGAGAUCUUGUACUCGCAUGAGAAGGAGGGUGGAGCCCCACGUCCUAUGAGCAUGAUGCAGAACUUCAGUGAGGCCUUGGUUGAUUGUGAACUCGAGGAUAUGGGGUACUCGGAUGACCAAUUUACUUGGAGAAGGUGGAGACUAAGGGAGAGGCUAGACCGGGCUGUUUGCAAUGGACAAUUCCACUCCAUGUUCCCGUAUGCCAAGGUCACCAAUGCGGAGCACACCAAGUUUGAUCAUCGACCUAUUCUAUUAGAUACAGAGGGCGAUGUGGUCAGAGAUAACUUCAGAGCAAGGAUCAAGCAGUUCGAGGCCAGGUGGCUCAGAGAAGAUGAUGUCGAACGGAUUGUAUCGGAGGCAUGGGAACCAGUCCUGGUUCAUCACUUGCGGAUCGCACUGCUGCAGUGCACGCGGAGAUGCAUAUCUGGGAUCGUGAGAUCCUCAAGGCGCCACACAAGCGGCUGAAGGAACUCAAGGCGGAGCUUGAAAAGCUGCGGUUGGGCCCUCUUACUGAUGAGGCGGCAGACCAGCUACGUGUCGUUCUUAUAGAAAUUGACGAAAACUUAGAAAAGGAGGAGAUAUACUGGGUGCAACGGAGUAGAGCCAAUUGGCUUAAAUUUGGAGAUAGGAAUACAAAUUUCUUCAACAACUUUGCUACAACAUGUAAGAAGAGGAACCACAUUAGGCGCUUGUUGGAUGAUAGUGGGAAUUGGGUAGAAGAUAAGGAAGCAACGGGAACACUGAUAACAGAAUACUUUCAUCACCUGUUUUCUUCGGAAGUUAAUGUACCACAUGCAGAUGUAUUGAAUAAAGUAAAACUGUCUCGGGUUAUAUGAAUGAUUCCCUGUUAGCUCCAUAUACUGCAGAAGAGGUGAGGAGAGCUCUCUUCUCUAUAGGAGACUUAAAAGCACCGGGGCCGGACGGACUUCAUGCGAUAUUCUAUAAGAAGUUUUGGCCAAUUUUGGGGGAGGACCUGGUGCGAGAGGUCUUGCAAGCAGUAAACAGUGGCAUUAUUCCUGAAGGUUGGAACACUACAACCAUCGUCCUCAUUCCGAAGGUAGAUAAUGCAGAGAAGAUCACACAAUUUAGACCAAUAAGUUUGUGUAACGUGGUUUACAAGGUAAUUUCGAAGAUGCUUGCCUCUCAGUUGAAAUUGUUGCUUCCAGAUAUUAUUAGUGAAACUCAAAGCGCUUUUGUUCCUGGACGGAUUAUAACUGAUAAUGUCAUAGUGGCGUACGAGUGUUUGCAUACAAUGAAUAAGAGGAAGAAGGGAAAAGCGGGAACAUGUGAAGUGAAACUUAACAUGCAUAAAGCUUACGAUAGGGUCGAGUGGGUGUUCUCGGAAGCAAUAUUAACUAAGCUAGGUUUUGAUCCUAGAUGGGUCAAGCUGAUCAUGGCGUGCGUUACAUCAGCGGAAUAUAAAGUUCCGUUCAACUCCAAUGAAACGUUGCCCUUCUCACCUACGAGGGGCCUUAGACAGGGUGAUCCCCUGUCGCCGUACUUGUUUUUGCUCUGUGCUGAAGGCUUAUCAGCACUGAUAGCCCAUGAGGAGGCAGCGGGGAACUUAAAUGGUGUCAAGGUCUGUCGAGACUCCCCCAUUUUUUCCCACUUACUUUUUGCUGACGAUUCCCUUGUCUUGAUGAAGGCACAUCAGCAGAAUGCUCACACGUUAAGAUCAAUAUUGGAUGAUUAAUGUGCGGCAUCGGGCCAAUUGGUGAGCAAGGCAAAAUGCUCUAUCUUUUUCAAUCCUAAUACAGAGGUGGAAGUUAAGGUGGAGGUAUGCCAAAUUCUAAUAUAAUGACAUAGUCUUUAUCGGAUAAAUACUUGGUCUUACCUCCAUGAUUGGGGUUGACAAGGUAACAUGAUUUAAACAUCUGAUAGAGAGGAUUAAGAUGUUGGUGAACGGAUGGAAGGAGUGAACACUUUAUUUUGGUGGAAAAGAGGCUUUGAUUAAAGCGGUGGCCCAAGCCAUUCCAACAUAUGAGUGUAUUUAAAUUCCCGAAAAAAAUCUGUAAGGGGAUCACUGAUGCAAUGUCGCAAUAUUGGUGGGGUGACGAAGAAAACCAUAAAAGGAUGCAUUGGUUUGCUUGGUGGAAGAUGUGUGUGCCAAAGGAAAGAGGGGGUAUGGGUUUCCGGGACAUUCAUAGUUUUAAUAUGGCCAUGUUGACUAAACAAUGCUGGAGACUCAUUGAGAAUUAUGACUCACUUUGUGCAAGAGUCUUAAGGGCAAGAUACUAUCCUUCUGGGGAUAUUUUGAACUGCGAAUUGAAGAAGAAGGGUUCAUCCUUUGUGUGGCAAAGUAUUUGGGCAUGAAUACAAACAUUAAAAAAAGGGUGCAUUUGGAGAGUUGGAGAUGGUACAAAGAUAGACAUAUGGAGUGAUUGUUGGAUUCCCAGCAGUGCAUCGUCCGCGGGAACCAAUUGCUCACUAAGGUCAGUGACCUCAUCGACCCCUCCUCGGGUGAGUGGGAUGAACAGUUGAUAAGGGAUACUUUCUGGCCUAUAGAUGCUGAUCGGAUACUGGAAAUCCCUUUGUUUCGGCAACAUACAGAGGAUUAUAUAGCAUGGCAUUUAAGUAAGAACGGUAUUUUCACGGUACGCUCAGCGUGUUAUAAACAUUGGGAAGCGAUUUAUGUCCAGGAAGAUUUGAUGGGGAGCCACCAUUCUGGUUCUAGGCCACAUCCAGUAUGGAAGAAGGUCUGGAAGCUCAAACUGCCAGGAAAGAUCAAGAUCUUUAUUUGGAGGUGCUUGCACAAUGUGCUACCAUGCUUCAGCGUUCUAACCAAUCGGCAUAUCGGUAGUAUCUCCCAAUGUCCUAUUUGCAAGGUGGGGGUGGAAGAUAUACGUCAUGCAGUUUUUUCAUGUCCACGUGCUCUAGCAGUUUGGGAAGCUUUGGGCGUUGGCAAGCUUAUCAGGGACGCCAUGUGGAUAGACCGCUCUGGAGUAGGGAUAAUAGAGUAUCUUCUCUGUGAUGAAGCUCAUCAGCGUAUGUACUCAGACCCAAUUGAACUGCCAGAGAUAAUUGCUGGAACUUGCUGGUACAAUUGGUGGCAGCGGAGACAAUUUGUGCAUGGAGAAACUGUUUCCUCGCCGGAACAAACAACAAUGUCGAUACGGGCUCUAAGCCUAAAUUUCGUCUGGGCAGCAGGAAAACCAAAGGAGAGACCUCGAGUGAAUAAGUGGCCUGUUGUUUUGUCCAGCCAACAAGUUCUAAAUGUUGAUGCAUCGUUUCAUGUUGAAGAUCAUACAGGCGGGUGUGGAGCAGUAGUGAGAGACAGCCGUGGAAAAUUCAUCGGGGCGUCUACAACUAACCUCAUGCAAAUUCCGGAUGUCAUCUCGGCGGAAGCUGCAGCUUUGAUGGAAGGCCUAAAGCUCCUCCAAAGCCUAGGAUGCAACAAUGUGAUGCUGAGAAUGGAUAAUAUUGUGGUGGUUGAUGCCCUACGGAUGAACGAAGGUCAUGCUAUGGUGGCAGCCCCAAUAUUAGAAGAGUGUAGAUUCUUGCUACGAGAGUUCGGGAAGGUAACUAUUGAGCAUUGUAAUCGAGAGUCAAAUAUAGUCGCUCAUGAGCUAGCUAACUGGGGAAGGACAAAUUCUCCCUCUGUGUGGGUGGAUGUACCCCCUGAGUUUAUUAUUAAAUCCCUAGCAAACGAUGUAAGUGUGAUUGAUUAAUAAAGCUAGCCGUGAAGGUCUUCCCGUUAAUUUUUUUUUGCAUCCCUCGCCCAAAAAACCCAUGCAUACCCCGCUGAUACAUAAUCUUAUGCAUGCCAGCGAAUUAAAAGACAAAACAGAUGAUGUCACUAAAAAUUCUUCCUAUUUUGAAACUUUAAAAUAUUUUCUAGUUCAAACCAUCGCUCCGAUUCAAAAUCUGUUUACACAUAAAAAAUUCAUCACAACAAGAUCUUCGAAACUAGAUCCCGUGUUGGUAUGUCUUGACGACACCUUUUUCACGUAAAAAAAAACCAUGUGACUAUGUAAACUAUCACGCCUACAACACGUAACUUAUCUUGGUGUUUACACUAAAGUUUAUGUUUCAACUACUUUUUUUGCCUAGGUCAAAUCUACCAUGUCAUUCGUGGUAAAUUAUCAGGUCUACAAUACCACCGUCUACCAUCGGUGUCGUGCUUGGGCUGCGAGGUGAGGUCUAUGUACCGACAUGGCAUGACCCACUUGUGAAACAGAACUUUGUGGGUCAUGCCGGGUCAGGCCAGUUUAGGAGUGUGUCGGUCCGAUGCAGUGUCUGAGCUAGCCUAUUGGCCACGUAUGUGAGGUGCGUGGUGCGUAAAGUACCAUGACAUUUACGUUGAAGUUACCGAGGGUAUGCUUUUCAACUUCUUUUCCUCAGAUCAAAAUUACUACGGUGUUUGCAUGUCAAUUAUCAUGUCUAUAGUCGAAUUACCAUGUUAUUUACACAAAAGUCAUAGAGAUUAUGUUUUUCUGCAGAAAAAACUAAUCAAAGUUAUCGCCGUGUCUGCAUGAGUUGUCAGCUCUGUUGUGUGUAUACUACCAUGCUAUUUACACACUUUUAUCCGGAGUAAGAAAGUAAUGGCGUUGUUUGUACGUGAGUUAUCAGCUCUGUUAUGCGUAUAUAACCAUACUAUUUGCACAUAAGUUAUAGGGGUAUGUUUUUCAAUAACUUUUUCCAGGGCAAAAGUUACCACGGUGUUUAUACGUGAAUUAUCAGCUCUACUAUGCAUAUAUUACCAUACAAUUUACACAUAAGUUACCGUGGUAUAUUUUCGAACAACUUCGUCUCGGGGUCAAAAGUUAUUGCGGUGUUUGUAUGUAAGUUAUCAGCUUUAUUGUAUGUAUAUUAUCGUGCUAUUUACACAGAGAUGGGUAUGCUUUUCAAUAAUCUUCAUCUUGGAGUCAAAAUUUAUCCGCGUGUUUAUACGUGAGUUAUUCAUAUAUCACCAUGUUAUUUACACAGAAGUUAACGGGGUGUGUUUUUUACAAAAAAUAUCUCUCGAGGCAAAAUUAUCGUGAUGUUUGUACGUAAUUUAUCACGUCUGCGGCAAGUAAAUUACCAUGCCAUUUGUACAGAAAUUAUCAUGAUAUGUUUGAACAAGUUUUUUCCCAUGGAUAAAUAGUUAUCAAUGUGUUUGUAUGUAAGUUAUUAAGUCUACGAUGCGUAAAUUAUUAUGCUAUUUAUAGAGAAGUUAUCGGAAUCUUAGAUGAUGUGCGAUGGAACUUGAGCGCAUAGUUUUAAAAUCAUACUGGUGAGGUUGCCGGCUCAGUUUUCCAAUGCCCCCCCGACUCACUUCCCUAAUUUUCGGUUUAAUCUCAUAUGGAGAAGUUACAAGUACUGUGUAAACUUUUCGUAAACAAAAUAAUUAGUUAGCUCGGUUGGUUGUUACUUUGAGAAUCCAUUAUGAGAUCGUGUGUUCGAUUCACCGCUAUGCACCAAGUUUUUGAUUUUCUUUCUCUUAGUUGGGAAAGAGAUCAACAUUAAUUGCGCUUAAAAUAGGAGGGAAAGAGAAUUGUGUGCAUUAAUUCCGUUUAAAAUGGAAAAUAAAUCAGUGUUAAUUCAGUUUAAAACGAGAAAGAAAUCGACAUUAAUUACGCCGCACAAAAAUGGGAAAUGAAAAAUAAAUCUGAAAAAAUUGUAGUCAAUGCGGCGAGAAAAAACGUGCGGAUUAGCGGGUGGCGCAAAAAAAAGACGAUUGCGGGAUCUAAACCACGGCGAGCAUCUCUAGCACGAGACGCGAAUCGAACGGUACAUGGGUACGUUUGGAUCUUUUGCAUAUUUCCGAUCGUUCGGAAAUUAGAUUUCUUGUUUCUUUUCACAACUAGAACAAUGCCCGUGCGUUGCAACAUGAUAUAAAUAUUCUAGUACUUUAGCUUGUGAUUUACCUGUCAAUAAUAAUGUGAUUGUGUAAAUAAAUGUUCAUCAAAUUCUGCCCGUGAAUUAACUUAUAUUUUAAUUAGAAGUUUGGUAAGUAAAUUAAACUGGAAUUGGUUUAGAAGGUAAGUAAAUUAAGAUGACUGAUUAUUAUAUACAUGAAGGUUGGACGAGGGGUGGGGGAAGAAAGAUGAAAUGGGAACCUUACGUUCUUUUUAAGUAGUAUAAUAAAGAUAAUACGUAUAUCUUGUUUUUUACACCCACCCCCAUAAUAUUUGUGCGAUUCAUGAGCUACUUCGGAUCUUUGGGGUCACAUGAGGUAUGGCAACCACCUUCUUGAAGAGCUUGGCCACUCCAAUCUAAUGUUGCACAAACGACAUCUAGGCCAUCCGAGACGGACUUAUGUGCCCGGUCACGGAGUUCCCCAUCCCCUACCUCGUGACCCCCUCUCCGUCUGCAGGCUCCAUUCAUCAGCCCUGCAACCGCUCGUGGAUCUUCUCAAGAGCCAGCUGCCUCCUGGGAAGGCGGCGCUGCUUGGCAGGGAUGGGCACCUACUCCUUGUCCGCCACGUCUUCAGCACCAUCCCGCUACACACCCUCAUGGCCAUCUCCAUAUGGACGCGACGACCCUUAAGAAGAUGGAUCGAGUCUGGCUCAAUUAUCUCUGGUAUGGCCACAAGGAUGCCAAUGGUGGUCACUCCGCCGUGAAAUGGCACCACACGUGUCGACCACUGCACCUCGAAGGGCUCGACAUCCUUGACCUCCACCUCAUGGGCAUCACAUUACGUGCACCUUGGUUGUCGCUGCAAAAACACCAACUCAUCAUGGCCAUGCAAUGAACUACCAGUCAACCAUUCCACUGACGUGCACACAACCUUUCGCGCAAGUUCCACUUGACAGGUCGACGAUGGGAUGACAUGCUUAUUCUGGGAGGACCAUUGGAUUUUAGGCCAGUUUGUUAUUGGCAACAACCCUUCCGUCGUCGCAUUGAUGCCUCGUCGCCGAUGCAAGUGGUGCAUGAUUUCCAAGGGUUUGCACCUUCAAUCCUGGGUCCAUGACAUCCACGGCGUGCUAGGACCCACCGCUCUCAUGGAAUAUGUGGAGCUAUGGCGACGGCUUCGACACAUCGACCUCACUAGUGAAUCAGACACCAUCUCCUACAAGAUGUGCACCAGUAGAUAGUACUAUCACUAAAAAAAAA